rnacentral:rRNA from 1 species
UACGUAGGGUGCAAGCGUUAAUCGGAAUUACUGGGCGUAAAGCGUGCGCAGGCGGUUAUGUAAGACAGAUGUGAAAUGCCCGGGCUUAACCUGGGAACUGCAUUUGUGACUGCAUGGCUAGAAUCUGGCAGAGGGGGGGUGGAAUUCCGCGUGUAGCAGUGAAAUGCGUAGAGAUGCGGAGGAACGACCGAUGGCGAAGGCAGCCCCCUGGGCUGACACUGACGCUCAGGAC